AUUGAACGCUGGCGGCAUGCCUUACACAUGCAAGUCGAACGGCAGCACGGGGGCAACCCUGGUGGCGAGUGGCGAACGGGUGAGUAAUACAUCGGAACGUGCCCUGAAGUGGGGGAUAACGUAGCGAAAGUUACGCUAAUACCGCAUAUUCUGUGAGCAGGAAAGCAGGGGAUCGCAAGACCUUGUGCUUUAGGAGCGGCCGAUGUCGGAUUAGCUAGUUGGUGAGGUAAAGGCUCACCAAGGCGACGAUCCGUAGCGGGUCUGAGAGGAUGAUCCGCCACACUGGGACUGAGACACGGCCCAGACUCCUACGGGAGGCAGCAGUGGGGAAUUUUGGACAAUGGGCGCAAGCCUGAUCCAGCCAUGCCGCGUGAGUGAAGAAGGCCUCGG
rnacentral:rRNA from 1 species